GUCAGACACGCUUUAUUCAUCGCCCUCUAAUCAACUCUCUCUCUCAUUGGUCUACUUCAGUGACAAUUAAAUCCUAAGACAUGAAAUAAACAUUCUAAUGUACCUUGAAUUUACGAAAAACUUAAAAAAAACUCGUAUACUAUUACAAAAACCAGAAAGGAGAUUGAUGAAAACGGUCAAGUAAUUGACUCGUCCCGCACAGCAUAAUCUACUAAAAGAUGUCUCAGUUCUGACGGGCAACGGACGCUGUUCAGAAGCCAGCACUCGAUUCAUCAUAUUUCUCACCGCGUGCCGACGACUUCUUCGCCGAUGCUAAUCGCGCGGGGAGGGCCGCGUAACGGAUGCAUGCUGUACGUGCGUGUGAUUUUCACGCGCACGUCUAACGGGACGUCGGGAAGCAACAACGGAUGGCCUCCACGUCCUCUUCGUCAUCAAGCGAGGGAGUGGUUCGUCGCGCACAUGUGCGCCCGCGCGCUCGCCGGCCCAAGGAAAAUAUUUUUCGCCAAAUUUGCACGACGGAGCGUCGAGGAUGCCCGGUUAUUUUGCCGAUGGGACCAAAAUUGAGGGUGGAAUUUCUGUUUCGUCGAUUUCCCGAGACGCCGAAGAGACGUUGAUGAUAAUGGCGGCAGCGGUGGAGGCUUUAAAAGUACGAGGCCAAGGCUGAACGUGGGAUAGAAACGAUUCGUGUGCGGAAAUGUGAGGGGGCGUUUACGUAAUGCGGAUAGGAAGAGUAUGCGGCGAGACAGAGAGAGAGAGAGAGAGAGAGAGAGAGAGAGAGAGAGAGAGAGAGAGAGAGAGAGAGAGAGACACUUCGUCGGAUCGAUUUCGCGAGCCGCUAAAUUUUUGAUAAAACGGAACAUCCAUUACUGUCGAAAAUAUCCGAUGCACGAGUUCCACAAAUUGCGAAGGAUAUCACAUCGCGAAGGCUCUCCCUCGCUUUAUCGCGAAGGCUCUCCCUCGCUUUAUCGCGAAGCCUUUGAAGAUCUCGUCUGAAUUCGAAGAUACAUAUUUACUAUCCGCAUAAUACGCCCGAUAACGGGUCGACGAUAAAAGGAGAUGCAAACGGACGAUGAAUCGCGAAAUGAAAUCGAAGGAAAGAAAAAAGAACAGAAAUGAGAAAAAGAAGAGAAAUGAGACGAGUUUCGAUCGCAGCGGAGAUCAAAGGGACGCAAAGAGAGAGGUAUAUGUUUUAGGUACUUUUACCUAAAAAGAAGAAAAAAAGGAAAAGAAAGGAAAUACACAGCGUCAAGGUUCGAUAUCGCGUUGCGUACGGAUGAAUUACGUUGCGUAACGAAUGUCUGCGCGAGCCACGAGUGUCUGAGCGCGGGGGAUGCGGCGGCGCUAAUUUUAAUUACGCCUUUUCCUUCAUUGCGACGUC